UUAGAGUUUGAUCCUGGCUCAAGAGGACCUUUGGCGGCGCGCCUAACACAUGCAAGUCGAACGAGCGAGAGAGAGCUUGCUUUCUCGAGCGAGUGGCGAACGGGUGAGUAACGCGUGAGGAACCUGCCUCAAAGAGGGGGACAACAGUUGGAAACGACUGCUAAUACCGCAUAAGCCCACGGGUCGGCAUCGACCAGAGGGAAAAGGAGCAAUCCGCUUUGAGAUGGCCUCGCGUCCGAUUAGCUAGUUGGUGAGGUAACGGCCCACCAAGGCGACGAUCGGUAGCCGGACUGAGAGGUUGAACGGCCACAUUGGGACUGAGACACGGCCCAGACUCCUACGGGAGGCAGCAGUGGGGAAUAUUGCACAAUGGGGGAAACCCUGAUGCAGCGACGCCGCGUGGAGGAAGAAGGUCUUCGGAUUGUAAACUCCUGUUGUUGAGGAAGAUAAUGACGGUACUCAACAAGGAAGUGACGGCUAACUACGUGCCAGCAGCCGCGGUAAAACGUAGGUCACAAGCGUUGUCCGGAAUUACUGGGUGUAAAGGGAGCGCAGGCGGGAAGACAAGUUGGAAGUGAAAUCCAUGGGCUCAACCCAUGAACUGCUUUCAAAACUGUUUUUCUUGAGUAGUGCAGAGGUAGGCGGAAUUCCCGGUGUAGCGGUGGAAUGCGUUGAUAUCGGGAGGAACACCAGUGGCGAAGGCGGCCUACUGGGCACCAACUGACGCUGAGGCUCGAAAGUGUGGGUAGCAAACAGGAUUAGAUACCCUGGUAGUCCACACCGUAAACGAUGAUUACUAGGUGUUGGAGGAUUGACCCCUUCAGUGCCGCAGUUAACACAAUAAGUAAUCCACCUGGGGAGUACGACCGCAAGGCUGAAACUCAAAGGAAUUGACGGGGGCCCGCACAAGCAGUGGAGUAUGUGGUUUAAUUCGACGCAACGCGAAGAACCUUACCAAGUCUUGACAUCCCUUGACGAUGCUGGAAACAGUAUUUCUCUUCGGAGCAAGGAGACAGGUGGUGCAUGGUUGUCGUCAGCUCGUGUCGUGAGAUGUUGGGUUAAGUCCCGCAACGAGCGCAACCCUUAUGGUCAGUUACUACGCAAGAGGACUCUGGCCAGACUGCCGUUGACAAAACGGAGGAAGGUGGGGAUGACGUCAAAUCAUCAUGCCCUUUAUGACUUGGGCUACACACGUACUACAAUGGCGUUAAACAAAGAGAAGCAAGACCGCGAGGUGGAGCAAAACUCAGAAACAACGUCCCAGUUCGGACUGCAGGCUGCAACUCGCCUGCACGAAGUCGGAAUUGCUAGUAAUCGUGGAUCAGCAUGCCACGGUGAAUACGUUCCCGGGCCUUGCACA
rnacentral:rRNA from 1 species